rnacentral:rRNA from 1 species
GUGUCAGCAGCCGCGGUAAUACGGAGGGCGCAAGCGUUGUUCGGAAUCACUGGGCGUAAAGCGCGCGCAGGCGGGUGUGCAAGUCGGAAGUGAAAUCCCGGGGCUCAACUCCGGGGCUGCUCCCGAUACUGCAUGUCUAGAGACCAGUAGGGGUUGGUGGAAUUCCCGGUGUAGCGGUGGAAUGCGUAGAUAUCGGGAAGAACACCUGUGGCGAAGGCGGCCAACUGGGCUGGAUCUGACGCUGAGGCGCGAAAGCGUGGGGAGCAAACAGGAUUAGAUACCCCCGUAGUCC